GGCCUACUGGUGCUUACCACAGGCUGUGUUCUUUACACUAACUGUAUAGAAAGAAGAGACACUCUAAAUGCACCCCAUAUACACCUCAGUUCAGACCCUUUGCUUGGUCUGUAUUGUGGGAGAUACAUGA